AGAGUUUGAUCAUGGCUCAGGAUGAACGCUAGCGGGAGGCCUAACACAUGCAAGCCGAGCGGUAGAGAUUCUUCGGGAUCUUGAGAGCGGCGUACGGGUGCGGAACACGUGUGCAACCUACCUUUAUCUGGAGGAUAGCCUUUCGAAAGGAAGAUUAAUACUCCUAUAAUAUAUUGAUUGGCAUCGAUUGAUAUUGAAAGCUCCGGCGGAUAGAGAUGGGCACGCGCAAGAUUAGCUAGUUGGUGAGGUAACGGCUCACCAAGGCGAUGAUCUUUAGGGGCCUGAGAGGGUGAUCCCCCACACUGGUACUGAGACACGGACCAGACUCCUACGGGAGGCAGCAGUGAGGAAUAUUGGUCAAUGGGUGCAAGCCUGAACCAGCCAUCCCGCGUGAAGGACGACUGCCCUAUGGGUUGUAAACUUCUUUUGUAUAGGGAUAAACCUACCCUCGUGAGGGUAGCUGAAGGUACUAUACGAAUAAGCACCGGCUAACUCCGUG
rnacentral:rRNA from 1 species